ACGUAGGGUGCGAGCGUUAAUCGGAAUUACUGGGCGUAAAGCGUGCGCAGGCGGUUUUAUAAGACAGAUGUGAAAUCCCCGGGCUUAACCUGGGAACUGCAUUUGUGACUGUAAGGCUAGAGUACGGCAGAGGGGUGUAUAAUUCCACGUGUAGCAGUGAAAUGCGUAGAUAUGUGGAGGAAUACCGAUGGCGAAGGCAGCCCCCUGGGUCGAUACUGACGCUCAUGCACGAAAGCGUGGGGAGCAAACAGGAUUAGAUACCCUGGUAGUCCACGCCCUAAACGAUGUCAACUAGGUGUUGGGGAGGAGACUUCCUUAGUACCGCAGCUAACGCGUGAAGUUGACCGCCUGGGGAGUACGGCCGCAAGGUUG
rnacentral:rRNA from 1 species